rnacentral:misc_RNA from 1 species
AUUAAGAAAGAACUAUAUCUUCGCCGGAGCGGGGCCUUGAACUCACGACCUGAAGAACCUCUACGCUUCUGGCAGUGAGCGGCCACGGUUCUAACCACUCGACCAUCUAGACUUUUAACCUAAUACAAAUCAAUGACGUGUCUGAUUAUAUUCGACUGGUGACAGACAAGAUACAGACAUCAGGGACAAAGAUGACUAGUGCUUGGAUGAUGUUCUUCUUUCCCGUGUUUACUGUAUGUCAUCCAGACACUGCGAAGGUCCUCUUCAAGUCCUCUGAACCAAAACCCAAAUACUCUCUAGGAGGAUCAUACAGAAUGUUACUACCAUGGUUAGGCGAUGGUUUACUGAUAUCGGACGGUAAAAGUGGGAGAGAAACCGUCGGCUGCUGACUCCCGCCUUCCAUUUUGACAUUCUCAAACCCUACGUACAGAUCUAUAAUGAUGUCACAGAAAUAUUCCUUGAAAAGCUACAGAAAGCAUGUGAUUCUGGAAAAAGCAUAGAAAUAUACAGCCAGGUUUCCCUGGCAACGUUAGACACCAUGUUAAGAUGUUCUUUGUCAUAUGAAGGCCAUGUACAAGAAAAAGGAGACAGUCACCCGUAUGUUCAGGCCGUGAGACGUCUAGGUUUUCUAUCCAUAAGGAGGCUAAUGAAUCCGUUGCUGCAUCCAAAUUUCUUGUUUUGGUUGUCACCCACUGGCAGAGAAUACAAACAACAUAACGACUAUGUACAUGAAUUUGCUGAUGAAAUAAUCACUUCUCGCAGGAAAAGUCUCGAGAAAGAUCCAAACCAGUUGCAGAGGAGCAAAUUGGAUUUCCUUGACAUUUUAAUCACAGCCAAAGACGAAAAUGGUGAAGGUUUGAGUGAUUUAGACAUCAGAGCCGAGGUAGACACAUUCCUGUUCGAAGGGCACGACACUACGGCAUCCGCCAUUAGCUGGGCAAUUUACUGUCUGGCCAAAUAUCCGGAAGAGCAAGAAAAGAUCUACAAAGAAGUGACGUCAGUUCUUGAUGGAAGAUCACAACUUUCAUGGGAGGAUAUGAGUCGUCUUAAAUACACCACCAUGUUCCUGAAAGAAGUGAUGCGCAUGCACAGUCCUGUUCCUUUUAUAAGUCGAUGGCUGACCAAGCCUAUGAUCCUGGAUGGCGUGGAAAUCCCGGAGAAUGUUACUGUGGACAUUUUUAUCCACUGUAUCAACCAUCAUCCAGAUGUCUGGCCCGACCACAUGGAAUUCCGUCCUUCCAGAUUUGAAGACUACAAGAGCCAGGACAAGGACCCAUACACAUACGUUCCUUUCUCUGCCGGGUCAAGGAAUUGUAUCGGGCAAAAUUUUGCUUUGAAUGAAGAAAGGGUGAUGAUUGGUGCUUUAGUCAAACGAUUCAAAGUCGAACUGGUGGAAUGUCACGUGUAUGAGGAAUACCCGGAAGUAGUGAUGAGGGCAAAAUACGGAAUUAAAAUCAACGUCAAACAGCGUUAAUACUCUUCAUUAGACUAACUGACAGCUUUGAUUGAUUCAAACCUCAUCUUAAUUUUAUACCGUUAUAAACUAUAUGUUAGUGACACAUGUUGAUGGGCAGCUUUGUGUAUGUGAGCCUUUACACUUCCAUAAAGGAAGUUCUAUUCUGAUUAAAAAGUUAUGAGAC